rnacentral:rRNA from 1 species
UGGGGAAUAUUGCACAAUGGGGGAAACCCUGAUGCAGCAACGCCGCGUGAGUGAUGAAGGUCUUCGGAUUGUAAAACUCUGUCUUUGGGGACGAUAAUGACGGUACCCAAGGCGGAAGCCACGGCUAACUACGUGCCAGCAGCCGCGGUAAUACGUAGGUGGCAAGCGUUGUCCGGAUUUACUGGGCGUAAAGGGAGCGUAGGUGGAUAUUUAAGUGGGAUGUGAAAUACUCGGGCUUAACCUGAGUGCUGCAUUCCAAACUGGAUAUCUAGAGUGCAGGAGAGGAAAGUAGAAUUCCUAGUGUAGCGGUGAAAUGCGUAGAGAUUAGGAAGAAUACCAGUGGCGAAGGCGACUUUCUGGACUGUAACUGACACUGAGGCUCGAAAGCGUGGGGAGCAAACA